GUUCUGGUGGCUCAAUCGGAUAGAGCGUUGGACUUCUAAUCCAAAGGUUGCGGGUUCAAGUCCCGCCCAGAGUA
rfam:Perkinsus marinus ATCC 50983 gcontig_1104296772362, whole genome shotgun sequence.